rnacentral:rRNA from 1 species
AUACGGGAGGCAGCAGUAGGGAAUAUUGCAUAAUGGGCGCAAGCCUGAUGCAGCAACGCCGCGUGCGCGAUGAAGGCCUUCGGGUCGUAAAGCGCUUUUCAGAGGGAUGAGGAAGGACAGUACCUCUGGAAUAAGUCUCGGCUAACUACGUGCCAGCAGCCGCGGUAAAACGUAGGAGGCAAGCGUUAUCCGGAUUUACUGGGCGUAAAGCGCGUGCAGGCGGUUUGGCAAGUUGGAUGUGAAAGCUCCCGGCUCAACUGGGAGAGGUCGUUCAAAACUGCCAGACUUGAGGAUGGUAGAGGGAGGUGGAAUUCCGGGUGUAGUGGUGAAAUGCGUAGAUAUCCGGAGGAACACCAGUGGCGAAAGCGGCCUCCUGGACCAUUUCUGACGCUCAGACGCGAAAGCUAGGGGAGCAAACGGGAUUAGAUACCCUAGUAGUCC